GGCGGCAUAGCCAAGUGGUAAGGCAGAGGUCUGCAAAACCUCCAUCACCGGUUCGAAUCCGGUUGUCGCCUCCA
rnacentral:tRNA from 3 species